UUCCUACGGGGGGCAGCAGUGGGGAAUAUUGCACAAUGGGCGCAAGCCUGAUGCAGCGACGCCGCGUGGGGGAUGAAGGCCUUCGGGUUGUAAACUCCUUUCGCUACCGACGAAGCCCUUUGGGGUGACGGUAGGUGGAGAAGAAGCACCGGCUAACUACGUGCCAGCAGCCGCGGUAAUACGUAGGGUGCGAGCGUUGUCCGGAUUUACUGGGCGUAAAGAGCUCGUAGGUGGUUUGUCGCGUCGUCUGUGAAAUUCCGGGGCUUAACUCCGGGCGUGCAGGCGAUACGGGCAUAACUUGAGUG
rnacentral:rRNA from 1 species